AUCAGUAGAGGAUGACGCAAAGAAAUAUGAUCUAACUCAAAUUCGUCACUACCACUGAGACAACAUUGAG
rnacentral:snoRNA from 1 species